GCCAGGUGUGAUGGCUCACACCUGUAAUCCCAGCACUUUGGGAGGCCGAGGUUGGCGGUUCACCUGAGGUUAGGAGUUCAAGACCAGCCUGGCCAACAUGGUGAAACCCCAUCUCUA
ensembl:misc_RNA Metazoa_SRP Metazoan signal recognition particle RNA